UAAGGAAUAUUGGUCAAUGGACGAAAGUCUGAGCCAGCCAUGCCGCGUGAAGGAUGACGGCCCUCUGGGUUGUAAACUUCUUUUAUCUGGGACGAAAAAAGAUCAUUCCUGAUCACUUGACGGUACCAGAGGAAUAAGCACCGGCUAACUCCGUGCCAGCAGCCGCGGUAAUACGGAGGGUGCAAGCGUUAUCCGGACUUACUGGGUUUAAAGGGAGCGUAGGUGGGUCUGUAAGUCAGUGGUGAAAUCUCCGAGCUUAACUCGGAAACUGCCAUUGAUACUAUAGGUCUUGAAUAUUCUGGAGGUAAGCGGAAUAUGUCAUGUAGCGGUGAAAUGCUUAGAUAUGACAUAGAACACCGAUUGCGAAGGCAGCUUGCUACAGGAUUAUUGACACUGAGGCUCGAAAGCGUGGGGAUCAAACA
rnacentral:rRNA from 1 species